AAGGAAAUCCUAAAUCUAAUACAAUUAACGUGUGUUGAUUUCCUUGACGCCUUCGGAUUGUAUUCUUUCCGCGUGAAGCUGUGGAAUUUUUUUGUUGAAUUUGGAGAUCAAUGUACUUCGGUUGAUAUCAAUUGCAUGGAAAUUAGGGUGGCUAAACAUGACUAACAAUCUGUGGCCCACGUGACCUUUAUUGAUGACUUGUAAAUCAUGUCCCAUUCAUGCUGCCCACUUUUCAUAUGAUAUGUUAACCUUUACUGCUUUACAUGAAUACCCACUUGAAUAACCUCCAUUUGCAUGUCCUAGUCAUAAGUCCACGUGAGAUGAAUUUUUGAUAGGCCCACGAGCUUGUAACAUACAGGAGUUGAUCCUUUGGUCCAUAAAUGUUUGAUAUGUCUCCAAAUUAUUCCUAAAAUCACAGAACCUUUC
rnacentral:lncRNA from 1 species